GCGCUGGCGCCGCCGCAGCCGGCCGCCGUGCCGGCGGACCCGGCCGCCGCGCCGCCACGGCCCGGCCUGCCCGGCGCUGGGUUCGUGUCUGACCUCCACCGGAUCUGCGAGACCCGUGACAUGCCGUAUGUCUGCCUGCUGCGUCACACGUACGAGGGGAACAACAUCCCCGAGGCUGUGUCACUCUGCGACUGUCUCGACUCGUGGAUCGGUCCGUUCAACGAGGUCGCCCACCCUCGUCCGGCUCGGCCUGGACCCGCUUCGGUGCUCGGCCGCUGGAAGAUGCCUCCCACCUGGUCGCAUCUCUUCGGUGCAGCGUUGGAUUCGAGGCUCUACUGACACGUGGUGGCAGCAGACACGUCGACGCAAGAAGGCCUGGACGAGGAGUACGUCGCCAUCAGCACGGCCGAUUUCUCUGAUAACCUCGCGACCUUUCUGCGUGUAAGCUGAUUGUUUCCGCCUGGUUAUCGUCGGGCACAAGGCGACCAGAACAGGAACGGUGAUAAUAAAUGAUGUCGAAAGGAAGUUUAA